rnacentral:rRNA from 1 species
AUACUCCGAGAACUGAAAGGCUUUUUGAAGUCUUCGGAUGGAUAGAAGAACCCCUGAUGCCGUCGAGCCAAGAAAAGUUUCUAAGUUUAGCUAAUGUUGCCCGUACCGUAAACCGACACAGGUGGGUGGGAUGAGUAUUCUAAGGCGCGUGGAAGAACUCUCUUUAAGGAACUCUGCAAAAUAGCACCGUAUCUUCGGUAUAAGGUGUGGUUAGCUUUGUAUUAGGAUUUACUCCGAAAGCAAGGAAACUUACAACAAAGAGUCCCUCCCGACUGUUUACCAAAAACACAGCACUCUGCUAACUCGUAAGAGGAUGUAUAGGGUGUGACGCCUGCCCGGUGCUCGAAGGUUAAUUGAUGGGGUUAGCAUUAGCGAAGCUCUUGAUCGAAGCCCGAGUAAACGGCGGCCGUAACUAUAACGGUCCUAAGGUAGCGAAAUUCCUUGUCGGUUAAAUACCGACCUGCAUGAAUGGCGUAACGAGAUGGGAGCUGUCUCAAAGAGGGAUCCAGUGAAAUUGUAGUGGAGGUGAAAAUUCCUCCUACCCGCGGCAAGACGGAAAGACCCCGUGGACCUUUACUACAGCUUGACACUGCUAUUUGGAUAAGAAUGUGCAGGAUAGGUGGGAGGCUUUGAGUAUAUGACGCCAGUUGUAUAUGAGCCAUUGUUGAGAUACCACUCUUUCUUAUUUGGGUAGCUAACCAGCUUGAGUUAUCCUCAAGUGGGACAAUGUCUGGUGGGUAGUUUGACUGGGGCGGUCGCCUCCCAAAUAAUAACGGAGGCUUACAAAGGUUGGCUCAGAACGGUUGGAAAUCGUUCGUAGAGUAUAAAGGUAUAAGCCAGCUUAACUGCAAGACAUACAAGUCAAGCAGAGACGAAAGUCGGUCUUAGUGAUCCGGUGGUUCUGUGUGGAAGGGCCAUCGCUCAAAGGAUAAAAGGUACCCCGGGGAUAACAGGCUGAUCUCCCCCAAGAGCUCACAUCGACGGGGAGGUUUGGCACCUCGAUGUCGGCUCAUCGCAUCCUGGGGCUGGAGCAGGUCCCAAGGGUAUGGCUGUUCGCCAUUUAAAGCGGUACGCGAGCUGGGUUCAGAACGUCGUGAGACAGUUCGGUCCCUAUCUGCCGUGGGCGUAAGAAGAUUGAAGAGAUUUGACCCUAGUACGAGAGGACCGGGUUGAACAAACCACUGGUGUAGCUGUUGUUCUGCCAAGAGCAUCGCAGCGUAGCUAAGUUUGGAAAGGAUAAACGCUGAAAGCAUCUAAGCGUGAAGCCAACUCUAAGAUGAAUCUUCUCUAAGCUCUCUAGAAGACUACUAGUUUGAUAGGCUGGGUGUGUAAUGGAUGAAAGUCCUUUAGCUGACCAGUACUAAUAGAGCGUUUGGCUUAUCUUU